UUGCUUCUCUUGAGAGCGGCGGACGGGUGAGUAAUGCCUAGGAAUCUGCCUGGUAGUGGGGGAUAACGUUCGGAAACGGACGCUAAUACCGCAUACGUCCUACGGGAGAAAGCAGGGGACCUUCGGGCCUUGCGCUAUCAGAUGAGCCUAGGUCGGAUUAGCUAGUUGGUGGGGUAAUGGCUCACCAAGGCUACGAUCCGUAACUGGUCUGAGAGGAUGAUCAGUCACACUGGAACUGAGACACGGUCCAGACUCCUACGGGAGGCAGCAGUGGGGAAUAUUGGACAAUGGGCGAAAGCCUGAUCCAGCCAUGCCGCGUGUGUGAAGAAGGUCUUCGGAUUGUAAAGCACUUUAAGUUGGGAGGAAGGGUUGUAGAUUAAUACUCUGCAAUUUUGACGUUACCGACAGAAUAAGCACCGGCUAACUCUGUGCCAGCAGCCGCGGUAAUACAGAGGGUGCAAGCGUUAAUCGGAAUUACUGGGCGUAAAGCGCGCGUAGGUGGUUUGUUAAGUUGGAUGUGAAAUCCCCGGGCUCAACCUGGGAACUGCAUUCAAAACUGACUGACUAGAGUAUGGUAGAGGGUGGUGGAAUUUCCUGUGUAGCGGUGAAAUGCGUAGAUAUAGGAAGGAACACCAGUGGCGAAGGCGACCACCUGGACUAAUACUGACACUGAGGUGCGAAAGCGUGGGGGAGCAAACA
rnacentral:rRNA from 1 species